rnacentral:rRNA from 1 species
UACGUAGGGGGCAAGCGUUGUCCGGAAUUAUUGGGCGUAAAGCGCGUGUAGGCGGCCAGAAAAGUCCGCUGUGAAAACUCGAGGCUCAACUUCGAGCUGUCGGUGGAAACUUUCUGGCUAGAGUCCGGGAGAGGUCAGUGGAAUUCCCAGUGUAGCGGUGAAAUGCGUAGAUAUUGGGAGGACCACCAGUGGCGAAGGCGGCUGACUGGACGGGUACUGACGCGGAGGCGCGAAAGCGUGGGAGCAAACGGG